GACAGGGCGGGCCCAGCGCCACCGCCCACGCGCGCUCCCGCCGUCGGACCCGGUCGGGACCGCGCGUGCUCGGGGCCGCGCGUGAGCAGUAUAAGCGCGCGUCCAGGACAGUGACGGCCUCGGGGAUGGACUGCGGCUCGGCGGCGGGCGAGAGGCAGAAGCACCCGCGGGGCCGCCGGCGCCUUCUGCUCUUCCCGUUUGCCGGCCUGUGCGGGAGCCCGGGCGGCCGCUACCUGUCUGCGCCCCCCGGAGGUCUGGGGGUGCUGCGCCGCGGCGGCGCGUCACGUGUCCGCCCGCUGCUCCUCCUGCUCUCGCCCCCGCCGCCCGCAGACUGGGGGCGCUCGCGCCCGGCGUCCUCCGCUGCCCCGGCCCGGCGCGGCGGCGCGUGGAGCUGCCCGCCGGGGCUGGUUCCGGGCGUCGCCUGUGCCGCCGGCUCUCCCCGCCCGAUCCGCGGCCGGGUGUCCGCCCUCGCUUCCUCAAGGAGAGAGAUAAGCCUCUCUGCUGGGAGCCUGCAGCUGGAGUACAAAGCAAGAGAUUUCACCUCUUCUGGGAGUAGGAAGCUCUACUUUGACACUCAUGCCUUAGUGUGUUUACUCGAAGAAAAUGGGUUUACUACUCAACAAGCGGAAAUCAUUGUAUCUGCAUUGGUCAAGACCAUAGAGGCCAACAUGGACAUCGUCUACAAAGACAUGGUCACCAAGAUGCAGCAGGAGAUCACUCUUCAGCAAAUAAUGUCUCAGAUUGCUAAUGUGAAAAAAGAUAUGAUUAUUUUGGAGAAGAGUGAAUUUUCAGCCCUUAGAGCAGAAAAUGAGAAAAUAAAACUUGAACUACAUCAGGUAAAACAACAAGUAAUGGAUGAAAUGAUCAAAGUCCGAACAGAUACCAAAUUAGACUUCAAUCUAGAAAAGAGCAGAGUGAAAGAAUUGGUAUGUUACUUUACUGUAUUCAUUGAAUGAAAGGAAGCUGCUGGAAAUAAAGACAGAAAUGGUGGCAUUGCAUGCCCAGCAAGAUCGUGGUGUCACCCAGACAGACAGGAAGAUAGACACGGAGGUUGCUGGCCUUAAAACUAUGCUCGAGUCACACAAGCUUGACAAUAUUAAAUAUUUAGCAGGGUCUGUGUUUACAUGCCUAACAGUAGCUCUGGGAUUUUAUCGCCUAUGGAUGUAAUAAAUUCUCUAUUUAAAGA